rnacentral:rRNA from 1 species
UGUUGGAUCAGGGUACCCCAGUGGUGCAGCCGCUACUAAAGGUUCGUUUGUUCAACGAUUAAAACCCUACGUGAUCUGAGUUCAGACCGGAGAAAUCCAGGUCAGUUUCUAUCUAUAAGAAGUCUUUUCUAGUACGAAAGGACCGAAAAGACAUAGCCAAAGCAUCAGCAAGCUAUCCUUACAACUUAUGACCCGUACUCAAUGAGUAACAAGUUCAACACACAGCCUUAGAAAAAGGCA